rnacentral:rRNA from 1 species
GAGUCUAGCAUGUUCGCGAGUCAUUGGGAACGACUAAACCUAAAGGCGAAAUGAAAGUGAAGCCCGGCCUUGCGCCGGGCGAGGGAGGAUGGGCCGCGUCACGAUGCGGCCCCGCACUCCCGGGGCGUCUCGUGCUCAUCGCGAGCUGAGGCGCACCCAGAGCGUACACGCUGGGACCCGAAAGAUGGUGAACUAUGCCUGGUCAGGACGAAGUCAGGGGAAACCCUGAUGGAGGUCCGUAGCGAUUCUGACGUGCAAAUCGAUCGUCGGAACUGGGUAUAGGGGCGAAAGACUAAUCGAACCAUCUAGUAGCUGGUUCCCUCCGAAGUUUCCCUCAGGAUAGCUGGCGCUCGUUGAGCGAGUCUCAUCCGGUAAAGCGAAUGAUUAGAGGCAUUGGGGUCAAAACGGCCUCAACCUAUUCUCAAACUUUAAAUGGGUGAGAUCUCCGGCUUGCUCGAACGUGAAGCCGCGAGAUUUUCAUCGGAUCAGAGUGCCAAGUGGGCCAUUUUUGGUAAGCAGAACUGGCGCUGUGGGAUGAACCAAACGCAGAGUUAAAGCGCCAAAAUCGACGCUUAUGGGAUACCAUGAAAGGCGUUGGUAACUUAAGACAGCAGGACGGUGGCCAUGGAAGUCGGA